CUUGAAUAAAAUAAGAGGUCCAGCCUGCCCAGUGAAAUUAUUCAACGGCCGCGGUAUCCUAACCGUGCGAAGGUAGCGUAAUCACUUGUUCUUUAAAUGAGGACUAGUAUGAAUGGCACCACGAGGGUUCUACUGUCUCCUUUUUUUAAUCAGUGAAACUAAUCUCCCCGUGAAGAAGCGGGGAUCUUUAUAUAAGACGAGAAGACCCUAUGGAGCUUUAAACAACCAACAUUUGCUACACCAUAACAUUUUUCCCUAAAAGAAGUAUAGCAUUAUGAUUAUUAGUUUUCGAUUGGGGUGAUCACGGAGUAAAAUAUAACCUCCAUGCCGAAAGGGUUCUUACCCUGAGCAAAAAGCCACAACUUUAAGCACUAAAAAAUUAACGCAGUUUGACCCAAUAUUUUGAUCAACGAAC
rnacentral:rRNA from 1 species